rnacentral:rRNA from 1 species
GAUGAACGCUGGCGGCGUGCCUAAUACAUGCAAGUCGAGCGAACGGACGAGAAGCUUGCUUCUCUGAUGUUAGCGGCGGACGGGUAAGUAACACGUGGAUAACCUACCUAUAAGACUGGGAUAACUUCGGGAAACCGGAGCUAAUACCGGAUAAUAUUUUGAACCGCAUGGUUCAAAAGUGAAAGACGGUCUUGCUGUCACUUAUAGCUGGAUCCGCGCUGCAUUAGCUAGUUGGUAAGGUAACGGCUUACCAAGGCAACGAUGCAUAGCCGACCGGCGAGGGGGGUCGGCCACACUGGAACUGGGACACCGUCCAGAGUCCUACGGGAGGCAGCAGUAGGGAAUCUGCCGCAAUGGGCGAAAGCCUGACGGAGCGACGCCGCGUGAGUGAUGGAGGUCUUCGGAUCGUAAAACUCUGUUAUGAGGGAAGAACAUAUGUGUAAGUAACUGUGGACAUCUUGACGGUACCUAAUCAGAAAGCCACGGCUAACUACGUG